rnacentral:rRNA from 1 species
UACGAAGGGGGCUAGCGUUGCUCGGAAUCACUGGGCGUAAAGCGCACGUAGGCGGCUUCUUAAGUCAGGGGUGAAAUCCUGGAGCUCAACUCCAGAACUGCCUUUGAUACUGGGAGGCUCGAGUCCGGGAGAGGUGAGUGGAACUGCGAGUGUAGAGGUGAAAUUCGUAGAUAUUCGCAAGAACACCAGUGGCGAAGGCGGCUCACUGGCCCGGUACUGACGCUGAGAUGCGAAAGCGUGGGGAGCAAACAGGG